AUGAGCUCCGCCCCCGCCCCGCCGCCGCCGCCGCCGCAGCCCUCGCCCCCCGCCGACGAGGGGCGGCCGAGGGAGGCCACGGAGGUGGACGACCGGGUGGCCUCCCACGUCGACCCGUUCCUCGUGGAGGCGCUCGACAACCCCCGCCACCGCCUCAUGAUUUUGCGGAUGGAAUUGGAUAUACAGAAAUUUAUGCAGAAUCAUCACCUGCAUGAAUUUGAAUUCCAGCAUUUUCCAACUUCUUACCUCCGCUGUGCUGCUCAUCGUGUUGCACAACAUUAUGGUUUAGAGACUACAGUAGCAGAUAGCUUAGUUGAUGGUUCUAAUAGCAGGAUAGUUGCGAGAAAAACACCUGAAAGCAAGUAUCCAGCUAUUGCUUUAUCAGAAGUUCCCGUUAAACAAGCAAGAAAUGAUAUUGAGGCAGCAGAAAAGCUUAAGUUUGUCAUUUGUCAAAGGCCCAAAGCUUCCCAAAAUGGUGCAUAUGGUGCUGGAACCAACAAUGGUGCGGCUAAAACUGUUGAAGAGAGGAUAGAUGAUUACAAUAAGGCACGGGCACGCAUUUUCAAUGGUUCCAUCCCUGCAGAUGUCGUAGGCCCAAGUGAUUUUGGAGCUUUAUCGGUUGCCAGAAACGAACCGGUGAAUAUUGAGCCUUCUGUUGAUGAGAACAAGGGCUGCACGUUCAAUAGCCGUUCCAGGGUUGCUGUUUUUAAGGACACUGAAAAAGAUCGUAGUGAUCCUGACUACGAUCGUAACUACAAAAGGUAUGUUAGGCCCCCCGUGCCUGACUAUGGCGUGAGCCCAGGCGCCUUCAAUUUUGCCGUGCCUCAGUUUGUGCAGUAUGGUGUUGGUUAUAUGCAGUCUCCUAGCAUGCCGAGGAACCAACCUUCUGUGUACUUUGGUCAACCUGAUUUAUCGAUGGGAUCUUCUGGAACUGCUGUUUACCCACAGUGGCCUACCCCAGCAAUUAUGUACCCCCAUUGCUAUGACAAUCUUGGCCAUGUGAUUUCUCAGGUUCCGGUGUACCAGUCCUUCAACCAUGGUUAG
rnacentral:rRNA from 1 species